rnacentral:lncRNA from 15 species
GUUUGCUUUGGCUGUCCUGACUUGUCAAUCACACAGGCUGGGAGGCACGUACACACAGACAAACACCACACACACACACACACACACACACACACACACACACACACGCACACACACACACCUAGACUUUGACAAGUGACAGAGGUGGAAAAUAGGCUAUGCAAACUGGAAUUGCAGGUUUUGGGCUUUCAGCAGUGAGUUGUGUGAAUGGCUGUCCAAGGGUUGGGUACAGACGGACGGUGGAUCAGUCCGGGAUGGAAAAGGAAAAUCCUCGUCGUCAUCUUCCUCCUCCUGCUUUUCCAGAAAGGAGACGGGGAAGGAGAGGGAGAAGCUGGAGGAGGGGAGCCGAUGAUCUGAGAUCAGAUGUUUCCUCCUGAUAACAAGCAGCUGUGACGAUCACUUCCAGACACAGACCAGGGUUUUUUUGUGGUUUUUUUUCAGCAGCGAGGCCAGAGGUUGACGUCCAUGUGCCCUGACCCUGGCCUNNNNNNNNNNNNNNNNNNNNCAACCCUUUCGUUCCACCUUUCUAGCAGUCCUUUCUGACUUGGACAGCCAAGUCAGGAGACUGUGAGGCCCAAAUGUUAUUUGCUAAAUUAGAUAAUGGAGGCUGUCCAUGUAAUGGCACUCUAGUUGGUAAACAAUGCUGUAGUGUUUUUGGAGGGCAGGGGAAGAAGUUGUUGUUUAUCAGACGAUUUGACAUUCUAUCUUCUACAUAUCUAUGUGUUCUAUGUCUUUAUUUAACCUCUUAAAGCUGCACUCUUAUAUUAACAGUGGAUCAUCAUCAUUAUCAUCCAACUGUGCAGUUCCCCUCAUAGCUAUCAAGCAUUUUAGCAUCUUUGAGCUCAUUGUUUUGGUUUUUAUACGGCAUGUUUAAUAUUUGGUUCAGGCUCACACCUCUUAUCAGCCUAAUUUCCAGUUGCACCAGGCAGCUGUUGUCAAGAGCUCUAAAAACGCUUCCUGCCCAGCACCAAACCAAUUUUGCAACAUUAGCUGGUGGACAUAGUGGAGCAUUUAGCCACUAAAGAGCCAGAUAUUUCCCUCAGGAGUUGGUGGAGACAAAAAUAGAGCUAAAAGAGGGUGAAUAUUAGAUGAUCAACUUUAUAAUUGUGUUUACAGCUUGUUUUUAUUGCCCACAAUUGGCCAACAAUCAAUUAAAGCAAGUUU